GACCUGCGGAAGGAUCAUUAUUGAAUACGUUGGUAUCUGAUGCUGGCUCUUCACUGAGCAUGUGCUCGAUCCUUCUAUUUAUCUUCUCUUGUGCACCUUUUGUAGUCCUUGAUAAAGUGAACCUCUCGCAGCAAUGCGGUUUGGGGGACUGGGCUUUACGCCCUUCCCUUGCUUGCUUUUUUCGAGGCUAUGUUUUCAUAUACACUAUAAAGUUACAGAAUGUCUUUUAAAGAUUGUGCUAGUCACAGUCAUUAAACCUAUACAACUUUCAGCAACGGAUCUCUUGGCUCUCCCAUCGAUGAAGAACGCAGCGAAAUGCGAUAAGUAAUGUGAAUUGCAGAAUUCAGUGAAUCAUCGAAUCUUUGAACGCACCUUGCGCCCUUUGGUAUUCCGAAGGGCAUGCCUGUUUGAGUGUCAUUAAAUUAUCAACCCAAAAGCUUUGUUAUGAAGCUCUUGUGGCUUGGACGUGGGGGUUUGCUGGCUUCCUUCAGUGGAUGGUCUGCUCCCCUUAAAUGCAUUAGCGGGAUCUCUUGUGGACCGUCACUUGGUGUGAUAAUUAUCUAUACCACUUUGACUUUGAAGCAAAACUUAUGGGAACCCGCUCAUAACCGUCUGCUUGUCGGACAAUUUUUGACAUUUUGACCUCAAAUCAGGUAGGACUACCCGCUGAACUUAAGCAUAUCAAUAAGCGGAGGAAAAGAAACUAACAAGGAUUCCCCUAGUAACUGCGAGUGAAGCGGGAAAAGCUCAAAUUUAAAAUCUGGCGGUUCUUGUG
rnacentral:rRNA from 1 species